rnacentral:rRNA from 1 species
AUACGGAGGGUGCGAGCGUUAAUCGGAAUUACUGGGCGUAAAGCGUACGUAGGCGGUUGGUUAAGUUAGAUGUGAAAGCCCCGGGCUUAACCUGGGAACUGCAUUUAAAACUGGCGAACUAGAGUUGAGUAGAGGGGAGUGGAAUUUCAGGUGUAGCGGUGAAAUGCGUGGAGAUCUGAAGGAACACCAGUGGCGAAGGCGACUCCCUGGACUCGAACUGACGCUGAGGUACGAAAGCGUGGGUAGCAAACGGGAUUAGAAACCCUAGUAGUCC